GAUGAACGCUGGCGGCGUGCCUAACACAUGCAAGUCGAACGAGAAGCUGGCUUCUGAUUCCUUCGGGAUGAGGAGGCCGGCAGAAAGUGGCGAACGGGUGAGUAACGCGUGGGUAAUCUACCCGUAAGUGGGGGAUAACCCUCCGAAAGGAGGGCUAAUACCGCAUAAGAUCUUCACUUCCCAAGAAGAGAAGAGGAAAGAUGGCCUCUAUACUAUGCUAUCGCUUUCGGAUGAGCCUGCGUCCUAUUAGUUAGUUGGUGGGGUAAUGGCCUACCAAGACCACAAUGGGUAGCCGGUCUGAGAGGAUGUACGGCCACACUGGGACUGAGAUACGGCCCAGACUCCUACGGGAGGCAGCAGUGGGGAAUAUUCCGCAAUGGGCGAAAGCCUGACGGAGCGACGCCGCGUGCGUGAUGAAGGCCUUCGGGUCGUAAAGCGCUGUCGGAGGGGAAGAAACGUCGCGGAGUUAAUACCCCCG
rnacentral:rRNA from 1 species